rnacentral:rRNA from 1 species
AUUGAACGCUGGCGGCAUGCUUUACACAUGCAAGUCGAACGGUAACAGGCCGCAAGGUGCUGACGAGUGGCGAACGAGUGAGUAAUGCAUCGGAACGUGCCCAGUCGUGGGGGAUAACUGCUCGAAAGAGCAGCUAAUACCGCAUACGAGCUAUGGAUGAAAGCGGGGGACCGUAAGGCCUCGCGCGAUUGGAGCGGCCGAUGUCAGAUUAGGUAGUUGGUGGGGUAAAGGCUCACCAAGCCAACGAUCUGUAGCUGGUCUGAGAGGACGAAAAGCCACACUGGCACUGAGACACGGCCCAGACUCCUACGGGAGGCAGCAGUGGGGAAUUUUGGACAAUGGGGGCAACCCUGAUCCAGCAAUGCCGCGUGCAGGAAGAAGGCCUUCGGGUUGUAAACUGCUUUUGUACGGAACGAAACGGUCUGGGUUAAUACCCUGGGCUAAUGACGGUACCGUAAGAAUAAGCACCGGCUAACUACGUGCCAGCCGCCGCGGUAACAC